rnacentral:lncRNA from 11 species
UGUACAGAUGCCUCUUCCUGUCUCUUCCUCUUCGCUCCUGACCAUGCCAUGCUGAUGUUCCUGUCUGUUAAGAGAUAUGUAGUUUCCUGAACUGUUUUUCUUUGGAACUAAGAUGUUUUUUGCCUGUAUGACCAUCAUCAUACAAGAUUUUUCAGCUGUUAUUCAAGGGAAGAAAACCAGCAUGCCUGUAAAACAAGCAACAGAAAUUAAUGUUAUUCUGGGAUCAAUCAGAAUCAAUUGCUUUGAGGUACAUCUGACGUGAACACAAAAGGGCCUUUUUGGUGGCUGUUCCCAGGCUCUAGAACUCCCUUCCUAAAGAGAUUAGAGAGACAUUCUCCUUGCUGACCUUUCAUAGGCAGUGAAGACUUUGAUGUUUUGUCAGGCUAAUUCCCCCAGGAUGGGGAGACAUUCCGCAUACUACACCAGUCAUAUUUGUUGUUCUUUAAAAUGUACAAUGUAUUGAUUGAUUGAUUGUAUCUAUUUUACCUUUGUAAACUGCCUUGAGUCUCAGAUUGGUAAAAGGAGGAGUAACAACCACAGGAACAACACUGACAGCACCACACUUAAAGGCAGAAAGUGUAUCAACCCUGGAGAUAGUGCUUGACCUUUCCCUUCUAAAGGUCAGUAGGGUCAGUGUAAACUCCUUGUCAUGUCUCUCUCACAAUCCCUCAGCAUUAAACCCAUGCUUAUGAAUCCAUGACCUGUGUGUGCAAACUUGUGAUUGUCUAAGUGCAGAUCUACAAGAGUGAAGUGUGAAUUCAGCAGAAAUAAGUGCAGCCUUCAGAGACCAAUGCUGUGUUGUCCAUGACACUGAAUCCAAACUUUUUCUAGUUUUGCUUGCAAAAAAGGAACAGCAGUAGGUGAUAUUAAUGGCAGAAUAUUUCUGAAAGCUUCUUGCAUUUUGCAGGGUGGUCUGGCGGGCAGUGUAAAAGCCUCUGCACUCCAUCUCGUGCCUCACAAUUCACCCAGGCAUACAAUAAACCUUCAAAAUCGCUUGGCCUGUCAUGUCUUGUUGCUCAAUGUUAAACUGCUUGUUAUAAAUAAACAUGUUCCUAAUAAUAGU